ACGGCAUUAACCAAGUUGGAUUUCGUCCUAAAUCUCGAGAUUGAAGCCUGAUUGAAGCGUAGACUAGAUAAAUAUUCUAACCGAUAAUUAACCCUAUUAUUUCUUUAGCAAUAAACUGUUGGUAUUACUUGUCAAUCUGCUUAAGAUAAUUUUUUAAUUCCGAUACAUACCAAUAAAAAUCACACUGACAGAGUUGGAUCAAAUCCAUUCAGUAUUAUUCGCCGCGCAGCCUUCGUCAAACGCCGAGAUAACCUGAAGAAUCCCCGGCAAUCCAAAUUUUUGUCACGUAAAGGAAGCUGCGGACUCUCUUCCCCUCCUGACGACUGUGUCUUGUGUGAGGCGUUGAGGUGACUCGCGUUCACAGCUGAUUAAUAAAAAUGAAUCCAGGCCGUCCAGGCAUUACCUUGCGUUCCAGCUCCACUCUACAGUCAGUUUAGUGCCGAUGAAACAAUAAUGUAUGUUCAAAAAUUGUUUCGUUAUUCUCAUU